CGUGAGAUGUUGGUUAAGUCCGUACGAGCGCAACCCUUGUCCUUAGUUACCAGCACGUUAUGGUGGGCACUCUAAGGAGACUGCCGGUGACAACCGGAGGAAGGUGGGGAUGACGUCAAGUCAUCAUGGCCCUUACGGCCUGGGCUACACACGUGCUACAAUGGUCGGUACAAAGGGUUGCCAAGCCGCGAGGUGGAGCUAAUCCCAUAAAACCGAUCGUAGUCCGGAUCGCAGUCUGCAACUCGACUGCGUGAAGUCGGAAUCGCUAGUAAUCGUGAAUCAGAAUGUCACGGUGAAUACGUUCCCGGGCCUU
rnacentral:rRNA from 1 species